rnacentral:lncRNA from 1 species
GCUCGUGAUAAUUACACUCAACUAAACCCAUUACGCUAUAUCGUAAUCCAAUCCAACCCUCAGAAGACUACUCUUACGAAUUAGAAUUUAAGUCUAAUUAUUUUAAAUUUGAUAUUCUAGUUCUCCUCUUAGUACUUCCUCUAAUACCUAAGAGAUGCAAACAAGUUACCAACAAAUUUACAUGAAUAAACAAAUUUACAACUGAAUCAAUAACAUUUAAACUCAAUAGAAAUCUGGAAUUUGUUCAGUUUGGGUGUCCAUCCAUGACUGUGGAAGUAACACGGCCAGGUAGUAACACGGCCAGGCCAUGGUCUCUUUGUCCUUGGGAGUCUGGGAAACAUGAUCGUGAUGUCCCCCACUACUGAGCCAUCUUUCUACCUUUGAUGGUUAAUUCAUGCUCUGUUAGCCUCUAUACAAACCACGAACAUGGCACCAUGCAUGGCCAGGCCAUGGUUAUCUGGAAUAUGCUUCUUUUCUCAGCUUUUGGUUCUCUUUAAAUCAAUUGAGGUCCUCUUCUCUUUUAUCUUGCUUUCUACUUCAUUUUAGGCUAUUUAUCAUUAAACCUACCCAAAACGUCAAAUAACCUGUCCUUAACCUGGAAUAAGUGAAAACAUAAAGAAAAAUGAAUUAAAACCCUAAGUGGGUGAAGAAAUGCAUGCAAAACAAGAACUAAAUAUAAUACAAUUUCACACAUAUCAGACGGUUGCCCAAGUCUUUUUAAAUGAUUAUUUAUCAUAUAUUUUAUCAAUGAACAUGAUUUAUGAUAAAGCAUCAUGACGUUGUUUGAUCCAUAUAACCGACCUCACAUAGUGGGAUAAAAACUUGGUUUUUGUUAUAUUUAUCGUGUUCCCAACUGGAUUCUAUAUAUCCUGUUAUAUAAAUAAUUCAAUAAUAAUGGCUUCCCUGUCUUCAUUUGUUUAUAUAACAGGUGAACAAGCGUAGGCCAUAUCAUGGCAUUAACUUUGUUAUUGCACAUGAUGGGUUCACCUUGCAUGAUCUUGUUUCAUACAAUUUCAAGGUACCUCACUACUUCCUCUUAAUUCUGUUCUUCAUCUCUUCAUUGUCCAUCAAAUCCUUGUCUUGCUUGAUUCUUGGCAUUGUAGCACAAU